rnacentral:rRNA from 1 species
CCUACGGGUGGCAGCAGUGGGGAAUAUUGGGCAAUGGGCGCAAGCCUGACCCAGCAAAGCCGCGUGAAGGAAGAAGGCUCUCGGGUUGGAAACUUCUUUUCUGAGGGACGAAGAAAGUGACGGUACCUCAGGAAUAAGCCACGGCUAACUACGUGCCAGCAGCCGCGGUAAUACGUAGGUGGCAAGCGUUAUCCGGAUUUAUUGGGUGAAAAGGGCGUGUAGGGGGGAAAGCAAGUUAGAUGGGAAAACUUAGGGCUCAAACCUGAGCCUGCAUUUGAAACUGUUUUUCUUGAGUGCUGGAGAGGCAAUCGGAAUGCGGGGUGUAGCGGUGAAAUGCGUAGAUAUACGGAGGAACACCAGUGGCGAAGGCGGAUUGCUGGACAGUAACUGACGCUGAGGCGCGAAAGCGUGGGGAGCAAACAGGAUUAGAUACCCUUGUAGUC